rnacentral:rRNA from 1 species
CCUACGGGAGGCAGCAGUGAGGAAUAUUGGUCAAUGGCCGGAAGGCUGAACCAGCCAUGCCGCGUGAAGGUCAGUGCCCUAUGGGCGUUAAACUUCUUUUGUGCGGGAGCAAUAAUGGUCACGUGUGGCCAGACGAGAGUACCGUACGAAUAAGCAUCGGCUAACUCCGUGCCAGCAGCCGCGGUAAUACGGGGGAUGCAAGCGUUAUCCGGAUUUAUUGGGUUUAAAGGGUGCGUAGGCUGUGAGGUAAGUCAGCGGUGAAAUGCCCCCGCUCAACGGGGUGAAGUGCCAUUGAUACUGCCUGGCUGGAAGGCGGAUGCCGUGGGAGGAAUGUGUGGUGUAGCGGUGAAAUGCAUAGAUAUCACACAGAACACCGAGUGCGAAGGCAUCUCACGAAUCCGCGAUUGACGCUGAUGCACGAAAGCGUGGGUAUCAAACAGGAUUAGAUACCCUUGUAGUC